AGCGCGUAGGAACGUGUCCGGAGGUGGGGGACGAACCGCGGGAGACUGCGGCUAAUACCGCACGCGGCCUGAGGGCCAAAGGCAGGGGGAGACUUCUGCCGCCUCCUGGAGCGGCCUGCGUCCGAUUAGCUAGUUGGUGGGGUGACGGCCCACCAAGGCUGUGAUCGGUAGCUGGUCUGAGAGGAUGAUCAGCCACACUGGGACUGAGACACGGCCCAG
rnacentral:rRNA from 1 species